rnacentral:rRNA from 1 species
GGGGAAUAUUGCGCAAUGGGGGAAACCCUGACGCAGCAACGCCGCGUGAAUGAAGAAGGCUUUCGGGUCGUAAAAUUCUGUCCUUAGGGAAGAAGAAAGUGACGGUACCUAAGGAGGAAGCCCCGGCUAACUACGUGCCAGCAGCCGCGGUAAUACGUAGGGGGCGAGCGUUGUCCGGAAUCACUGGGCGUAAAGGGCGCGUAGGCGGUAUAUUAAGUCAGGUGUGAAAGUUUUCGGCUCAACCGGAAAAGUGCACUUGAAACUAAUAAACUUGAGUACUGGAGAGGUAAGCGGAAUUCCUAGUGUAGCGGUGAAAUGCGUAGAUAUUAGGAGGAACACCGGUGGCGAAGGCGGCUUACUGGACAGAGACUGACGCUGAGGCGCGAAAGCGUGGGGAGCAAAC